UUACGGCCAUAUCACGUUGAAAUACCGGUUCCAGUAGGAUCGCCGAAGUUAAACAAGGUAAAGUCUGGUCAGUACUUAGAUCAAGGGCGACCGCUUGGGAACACCAGGUGAUGU